rnacentral:rRNA from 1 species
AACACAAACAACCACAAAACCACAAAACACAAACACCAAAACAAAAAAAACAACACCCAAAAAAGACCCCCCACCAAAAAGCACCCCCCCCACACNAAAAACCCCCCACAAUGGGGAAUUUUCCGCAAUGGGCGAAAGCCUGACGGAGCAAUACCGCGUGAGGGAGGAAGGCUUUUGGGUCGUAAACCUCUUUUCUCAAGGAAGAAAAAAAUGACGGUACUUGAGGAAUAAGCAUCGGCUAACUCCGUGCCAGCAGCCGCGGUAAUACGGAGGAUGCAAGCGUUAUCCGGAAUGAUUGGGCGUAAAGGGUCCGCAGGUGGUACUGUAAGUCUGCUGUUAAAGAGUCACGCUCAACGUGAUAAGAGCAGUGGAAACUACAGAACUAGAGUGCGUUCGGGGCAGAAGGAAUUCCUGGUGUAGCGGUGAAAUGCGUAGAUAUCAGGAAGAACACCGGUGGCGAAAGCGUUCUGCUAGGCCGCAACUGACACUGAGGGACGAAAGCUAGGGGAGCGAAUGGGAUUAGAUACCCCAGUAGUCCUAGCCGUAAACGAUGGAUACUAGGCGUGGCUUGUAUCGACCCGAGCCGUGCCGGAGCUAACGCGUUAAGUAUCCCGCCUGGGGAGUACGCACGCAAGUGUGAAACUCAAAGGAAUUGACGGGGGCCCGCACAAGCGGUGGAGUAUGUGGUUUAAUUCGAUGCAACGCGAAGAACCUUACCAAGACUUGACAUCCUGCGAAUUUUCCUGAAAGGGAAGAGUGCCUUAGGGAGCGCAGAGACAGGUGGUGCAUGGCUU